UACGGAGGGUGCAAGCGUUGUCCGGAUUUAUUGGGUUUAAAGGGUGCGUAGGCGGCUUUGUAAGUCAGUGGUGAAAUAUGGCAGCUUAACUGUCAAGGUGCCAUUGAUACUGCGGAGCUUGAGUACAGAUGAGGUAGGCGGAAUUGACGGUGUAGCGGUGAAAUGCUUAGAUAUCGUCAAGAACACCUAUAGCGAAGGCAGCUUACUAGGCUGUAACUGACGCUGAGGCACGAAAGUGUGGGGAUCAAACAGG
rnacentral:rRNA from 1 species